GACGAACGCUGGCGGCGUGCUUAACACAUGCAAGUCGAACGAUGAACCGGUUUCGGCCGGGGAUUAGUGGCGAACGGGUGAGUAACACGUGGGCAAUCUGCCCUGCACUCUGGGAUAAGCCCGGGAAACUGGGUCUAAUACCGGAUACGACACUCCGAGGCAUCUUGGGGUGUGGAAAGUUCCGGCGGUGCAGGAUGAGCCCGCGGCCUAUCAGCUUGUUGGUGGGGUAAUGACCUACCAAGGCGACGACGGGUAGCCGGCCUGAGAGGGUGACCGGCCACACUGGGACUGAGACACGGCCCAGACUCCUACGGGAGGCAGCAGUGGGGAAUAUUGCACAAUGGGCGAAAGCCUGAUGCAGCGACGCCGCGUGAGGGAUGACGGCCUUCGGGUUGUAAACCUCUUUCAGCUGGGAAGAAGCGAAAGUGACGGUACCUGCAGAAGAAGCACCGGCUAACUACGUG
rnacentral:rRNA from 1 species